rnacentral:tRNA from 1 species
GAUAAGAUGGUAGAGUGAUGUACGGCUGUCUUGAAAUCAGCUUAGGUGGGUUCGAUUCCUGCUCUUAUUA